rnacentral:rRNA from 1 species
UACGAAGGGGGCUAGCGUUGCUCGGAAUUACUGGGCGUAAAGAGCGUGUAGGCGGCCAAGCAGGUCCGCUGUGAAAACUCGAGGCUCAACCUCGAGACGUCGGUGGAAACCGUUUGGCUAGAGUCCGGAAGAGGAGAGUGGAAUUCCCGGUGUAGCGGUGAAAUGCGCAGAUAUCGGGAAGAACACCCGUGGCGAAGGCGACAUACUGGCUCAUUACUGACGCUGAGGCUCGAAAGCGUGGGGAGCAAACAGG